rnacentral:rRNA from 1 species
GAUGAACGCUAGCAGCAGGCCUAACACAUGCAAGUCGAGGGGCAGCACAGAAACAGCAAUGUUUUGGUGGCGACCGGCGGACGGGUGCGUAACGCGUAUGCAACCUACCUUACACAGGGGGAUAACGGAUGGAAACGUCCACUAACACCCCAUAACAUCGGAAUCGGCAUCGGAUCCGGUUGACAUCUCCGGAGGUGUAGGAUGGGCAUGCGUUGUAUUAGAUAGUUGGUGAGGUAACGGCUCACCAAGUCGACGAUACAUAGGGGGACUGAGAGGUUAGCCCCCCACACUGGUACUGAGACACGGACCAGACUCCUACGGGAGGCAGCAGUGAGGAAUAUUGGUCAAUGGGGGCAACCCUGAACCAGCCAUGCCGCGUGCAGGAAGACGGCUCUAUGAGUUGUAAACUGCUUUUACACAGGGAUAAAUCGGGGUACGCGUACCCCAUUGAAGGUACUGUGGGAAUAAGGAUCGGCUAACUCCGUGCCAGCCGCCGCCGUAA